rnacentral:sRNA from 1 species
UUUGCCUGCCAGUAAGCACUCUUCCUCUUCCCACUUCCCACUGGCCAUCACGGGGUGACUGGGAAUUGGGGCCAAUGCAGCUAAAAAAGGGCCAUAUCCAGGAUGUUCGAAUUGGAUGGCGGGGGAAGACGGAGACGGAGGCGUUGGUGAGAGCGUAUUGCCCUUGUAAAUCUCCAAUGCCACAUCUGCACACACGGCCCAAUGGGAUGAAGCUACAUUCAAAGCCAGCCAAGCCAGUUCCUCAUUGACUAUGGAUUACACAGCUAGCAAGAGCAAGAAACUGAAGCGAGCGGGAGAAGAAAACUAAAGAGACAAAGGGAGAGAAAAGGACAUCUCCUUAUCAUUCAACGCUGGCGAGCAAGCAGCCCCAGAAUUACGCUCAGUCGAACGCGGGAGUCAAUGUCGCGGGGCAACGACAUUGCUACAAGACAUCUGUGCAGCUAUCCAAGGCGGGCAAUGAGAACGAACCAGCAACCCUCAGCCCAAGAAUAAAUUGGUUAUACGCAGCGUCUAUGAAAUGGCCUGGCUCCAAUUCGGCUCAAGUGUUAAAAGAGAAUGCAUUACAUCAAACCCACAGAACAGAACAAGACCGAGCACGUCCCGUUGCGCGAUCGACGGUAUGGAUAUAAGUUCUCAUCGGUUGAAGAAAAAGGUGGCUAUAAGCCUGAAGUUGUGAUCGGAUAAAGAAUGGCGUGCGGUCUGCCGAAAAUAUCGACUAAGAGACAUUCAUUGGAAAGACAGUUCGGAAUCCUUCCAAUAAUACGAAUGAAGGUUUCCUUUGACAACAUAAUUCUGGAGCCCUUGGGGUUUCCUAAUAGUUGGAGGGCCAUAUUUCUCUCCCAGACAAGAUGUUGGGUUUCUCGGUUGAAAUAUAGACAGGGCAGAGUCAAAGGAGGUUGCCAGCCUACACGUUUACAAUCAAAC